rnacentral:rRNA from 1 species
CAGAGACUGCAAGCGUUAUUCGGAUUCACUGGGCGUAAAGGGUGCGCAGGCGGCCGAGUGUGUGAGGCGUGAAAGCCCGGGGCUUAACCCCGGAAUUGCACCUCAAACUACACGGCUAGAGCAUUGGAGAGGGUAGCAGAAUUCAUGGUGUAGCAGUGAAAUGCGUAGAUAUCAUGAGGAAUACCAGAGGCGAAGGCGGCUACCUGGACAAUUGCUGACGCUCAGGCACGAAAGCGUGGGGAGCAAAAGGGAUUAGAUACCCCUGUAGUCCACGCCCUAAACGGUGCACACUAGGUCUUGGCGGAUUCGACCCCUCCAGGGCCCAAGCUAACGCGUUAAGUGUGCCGCCUGAGGACUACGGCCGCAAGGCUA